rnacentral:rRNA from 1 species
GAUGAACGCUGGCGGCGUGCCUAAUACAUGCAAGUCGAGCGAACAGACGAGGAGCUUGCUCCUCUGACGUUAGCGGCGGUCGGGUGAGUAACACGUGGAUAACCUACCUAUAAGACUGGGAUAACUUCGGGAAACCGGAGCUAAUACCGGAUAAUAUAUUGAACCGCAUGGUUCAAUAGUGAAAGACGGUUUUGCUGUCACUUAUAGAUGGAUCUGCGCCGCAUUAGGUAGUUGGUAAGGUAACGGCUUACCAAGGCAACGAUGCGUAGCCGACCUGAGAGGGUGAUCGGCCACCCUGGAACGGAGACACGGUCCAGACUCCUACGGGAGGCAGCAGUAGGGAAUCUUCCGCAAUGGGCGAAAGCCUGACGGAGCAACGCCGCGUGAGUGAUGAAGGUCUUCGGAUCGUAAAACUCUGUUAUUAGGGAAGAACAAAUGUGUAAGUAACUAUGCACGUCUUGACGGUACCUAAUCAGAAAGCCACGGCUAACUACGUG